AGUCGAUGUCACCGCACUGUGGCCCCUGAUCCUUUCUAUGCAGCCUGUGUGUACGAUCUGUGUGUGUGUGGUGACAAUUCUACGUGUCUUUGUGACAUUCUCUCCUCUUAUGCAAAAGAGUGUGCCAAAGCUGGAGUGAGGCUAGAAUGGAGAGAACCCGGCCUUUGUGAUUUUGGUUGUGAUGAGAGUUUGGGCUUUGUGUUCGACGAGUGUGGCCCAGUUUGCCCCAGGACCUGUGAGAACUAUGACACUCCUAUUGGUGACCUCAAAACUAAAUGCUUCAAGCCCUGUAUAGCCAGCUGUCAGUGUCCCGCCGACAAAGUGUUACUAAACGGACAAUGUGUAGCUUUUGACGAAUGUCCUAGAAUAGAUCGUGGGGACAUUCCAGUUGGGCCUGCCCAGGGUUAGAACCAAAAAUAGACUGGGGAUAUCCCCACCGAAGCUAUCAGAUACUUAGGUUAUAUAGUGUAUUAAUAAAUGAACAAUUUUUUCAUUACUGGGUACAUUUUGAAGUGCAAUAUCAGUGUUAUUUGCAUGUUGUGUACUAUUUGCUGAGAAUGUUUUAAGUGAGAGAGAAAAACCACUGCACUAAAUCUUGUAUUGAUGUGAAAAAUGUGAGGAAGAAAAUGUCAUUCUAUGAUUUAGAUCUGAAUCGUUUAUUAUUGUUAAAUACUCGAUACUCAUGAAUUAGUUCUUAUGAUGAUAGGAACAUUUACAACCUCAGUGUGCAGUGGUGACCUCAGAAGCAGAAAUCCGUAGUAGCUAGAACCAAUUUGUAGAAACGUGUAGGACCUGAAACAUACUCGUGAUGUGUCUAAAUGGGCUGUCUAGUGUCUAGCAAUUGUGGUGCAUUUGAAAUAGAUCUUCUAUUUCUGAUAGAGUAUCAUAUUUAAAUCAAUUGAUCAUUAGAUACCUGUACAAGCAUUUCAUUUAGUCUUCAUAUCUGUUUUUAUAAGAUACUCACGUUGGGAAGUAUAUAAAGCUCAGUUUUCUGUAAUGUUGUAGUUUUCUGAGAUUCUAGAAUAAUUGCUCUUUCAUGGCUUAAAAGUUAAAAACACCAGAAGCAAGUAAUUUAACAAACAUUGUGCCUUAUAUUAUCCCUGUCUUGCUUUUGAUAUUUUUUAUAUACUGAUUGUGCCUUACUUGAAUAUUAGCUAUUUUAAUUUUCGUCUAUCACAUUUAUUUAGUAGAAACCCAUAUAACUUCAUAUCCAAUGAUGUAUCAUCAUGUUGUUAAAAACACAACAGAUAUCAGAAAUUUUUUAGUUCCACAAAAUAUAACAAUGUUUGUGCUGUUACAGUGAAAGUUAUCUGUACCAUAGUAAAUAUUAUUACCGGUAUGUGAAUAUGUACAGUGAACGCAAUUGUUUUUUUCAUUUUUACAUUUAGAGUUAAAUAAGUGAUAUUGAUUAUAUACACGGGUGUGUUAUGGUACAUAAUAUAAAGUAUCACACCUUCUAAAGUUGUAUGAUAUUUUAUAAAUGCAUUGCUUAAUUCUUCAAAUGAACAAGAUUAAAGAGGUGGUCAAUUUAGUACAUGUAAUGCAUGAGAGACACCCAGCAAAUUACAGUACAAUGUUCUAGUUUACUGAUGGUCAAUCUUGUGCAGUGUACAAGCUAUUGCAUCCGAAAUUGUGAUUCUUUUUAAGAUGAAAAUGAUGCAGAACUGUGCAUGGUUAAAAAAAAUGAAAAUUAGAAGAUAUAACAGUUUUACAUCUUUGCUGCUGCUAAGCCCAGAGGUGUGUUCAACAGAGAAAGUGCGUGCUGAAAUUAACUAUAUCUGCAACACAAAUUUUGGCGAGCGCUCGCUCUGCUGAACAUGUCCAUGUUGGUCUAAACAGAAUACUGUAAACCACCUUUUUUCACAAGCAAGAAAUUUUUACGAGUCUCGGAACCGCUUCGUCGUGAAUGUAUUUGGAGCAAACCAGUCCUCAAAUGUCUGUGGUAUACCGUAUUAUUUUUUAGAAAAUUUAGUCUUGAUUGCAAAAUGAGCUAGUUUAUUUCCAGUAAAUUACAAAAUAAAUUUCAUGCGAAUACAGUUGGUUUACAGAAUGUUAAUUAUGUAAUAUUUACCUCCCUUUCUGGUCUGUUGGUGUUGUACUAACAGACAUUGGUGUAUUUAUACUCAUUGUUAUUACUGUGCUGUGUUGUAUAUUUUGAUAUUUAUACAUGUUACUUUUAUAAUCAUAAUUAUACUUCUUUAAUAGACUUUGUAUGAAUGUUAUUAAUUAGAAUGUGAACAGAUUUUGUAUGUUUGAUAGCAAGUCCUGGAUAAUUAAAUUAUUAACAUAUUG
rnacentral:misc_RNA from 1 species